rnacentral:ncRNA from 1 species
ACCCGGCGACGGGCCUCGGUCAGGGACGAGGGCUCCCAUAGAAGAUGGGUUUGAUGGAGCCGGGGUGUAAGCCGGAAGGCCUUAGGGUCGACCGGUUCAGCCCGCGGCCCCCAACCGCCCGAGGUGUCGGGUUG